GAUGGAGGGGGAUAACUACUGGAAACGGUAGCUAAUACCGCAUAACGUCGCAAGACCAAAGAGGGGGACCUUCGGGCCUCUUGCCAUCAGAUGUGCCCAGAUGGGAUUAGCUAGUAGGUGGGGUAACGGCUCACCUAGGCGACGAUCCCUAGCUGGUCUGAGAGGAUGACCAGCCACACUGGAACUGAGACACGGUCCAGACUCCUACGGGAGGCAGCAGUGGGGAAUAUUGCACAAUGGGCGCAAGCCUGAUGCAGCCAUGCCGCGUGUAUGAAGAAGGCCUUCGGGUUGUAAAGUACUUUCAGCGGGGAGGAAGGUGUUGUGGUUAAUAACCACAGCAAUUGACGUUACCCGCAGAAGAAGCACCGGCUAACUCCGUGCCAGCAGCCGCGGUAAUACGGAGGGUGCAAGCGUUAAUCGGAAUUACUGGGCGUAAAGCGCACGCAGGCGGUCUGUCAAGUCGGAUGUGAAAUCCCCGGGCUCAACCUGGGAACUGCAUUCGAAACUGGCAGGCUGGAGUCUCGUAGAGGGAGGUAGAAUUCCAGGUGUAGCGGUGAAAUGCGUAGAAGAUCUGGAGGAAUACCGGUGGCGAAGGCGGCCU
rnacentral:rRNA from 1 species